rnacentral:rRNA from 1 species
GACGAACGCUGGCGGCGUGCUUAACACAUGCAAGUCGAACGAUGAAGCCGGAGCUUGCUCUGGUGAAUUAGUGGCGAACGGGUGAGUAACACGUGAGUAACCUGCCCUUGACUCUGGGAUAACUGCUAGAAAUGGUAGCUAAUACCGGAUACGACCCUCGGAGGCAUCUUCAGGGGGUGGAAAGAACUUCGGUCAAGGAUGGACUCGCGGCCUAUCAGCUAGUUGGUGAGGUAAUGGCUCACCAAGGCGACGACGGGUAGCCGGCCUGGGAGGGUGACCGGCCACACUGGGACUGAGACACGGCCCAGACUCCUACGGGAGGCAGCAGUGGGGAAUAUUGCACAAUGGGCGCAAGCCGGAUGCAGCAACGCCGCGUGAGGGAUGACGGCCUUCGGGUUGUAAACCUCUUUUAGUAGGGAAGAAGCGAAAGUGACGGUACCUGCAGAAAAAGCACCGGCUAACUACGUGCCAGCCGCCGCGGUAA